GAUGAACGCUGGCGGCGUGCCUAAUACAUUCAAGUCGAGCGAACAGACGAGUAUCUUGCUCCUCUGACGUUAGCGGCGGACGGGUGAGUAACACGUGGAUAACCUACCUAUAAGACUGGGAUAACUUCGGGAAACCGGAGCUAAUACCGGAUAAUAUAUUGAACCGCAUGGUUCAAUAGUGAAAGGCGGUUUUGCUGUCACUUAUAGAUGGAUCCGCGCCGCAUUAGCUAGUUGGUAAGGUAACGGCUUACCAAGGCGACGAUGCGUAACCGACCUGAGAGGGUGAUCGGCCACACUGGAACUGAGACACGGUCCAGACUCCUACGGGAGGCAGCAGUAGGGAAUCUUCCGCAAUGGGCGAAAGCCUGACGGAGCAACGCCGCGUGAGUGAUGAAGGUCUUCGGAUCGUAAAACUCUGUUAUUAGGGAAGAACAAAUGUGUAAGUAACUAUGCACGUCUUGACGGUACCUAAUCAGAAAGCCACGGCUAACUACGUG
rnacentral:rRNA from 1 species